GACGAACGCUGGCGGCGUGCUUAACACAUGCAAGUCGAACGAAAAGGCCCUGCUUGCAGGGUAUUCGAGUGGCGAACGGGUGAGUAACACGUGGGUGAUCUGCCCUGCACUUCGGGAUAAGCCUGGGAAACUGGGUCUAAUACCGGAUAGGAGCCAUUUUUAGUGUGAUGGUUGGAAAGUUUUUUCGGUGUAGGAUGAGCUCGCGGCCUAUCAGCUUGUUGGUGGGGUAAUGGCCUACCAAGGCGGCGACGGGUAGCCGGCCUGAGAGGGUGGACGGCCACAGUGGGACUGAGAUACGGCCCAGACUCCUACGGGAGGCAGCAGUGGGGAAUAUUGCACAAUGGGCGCAAGCCUGAUGCGGCGACGCCGCGUGGGGGAUGACGGCCUUCGGGUUGUAAACUCCUUUCGCUAGGGACGAAGCUUUUUGCGACGGUACCUAGAUAAGAAGCACCGGCUAACUACGUG
rnacentral:rRNA from 1 species